CUGCAACUCGACUCCAUGAAGCUGGAUUCGCUAGUAAUCGCGCAUCAGCCAUGGCGCGGUGAAUACGUUCCCGGGCCUUGUACACACCGCCCGUCAAGCCAUGGGAGUCGGGAGUGCCUGAAGUUCGUGACCGUCACAGGAGCGACCUAAGGCAAGACCGAUGACUGGGGCUAAGUCGUAACAAGGUAUC
rnacentral:rRNA from 1 species